UCUGAUAUUGAUAAGUUAAUGUACUUACUACUUCAACUAAAACAUAAAUCUAACUGAACAUGCAUUUAUUAUUAUAAAUCCGUUUUAGUAAACCCAAUACUAUGGUAUGCUUGUUAAACAUCUGACUAAAGCAAGUUUUUUCUUAAUUAUUUUGAGCGAAACUAUCGAAGCAAGGUUAGUGUAACGUAUUGAAAAAUUAGCUAAAUUAUAUGUAAUGUUAAAGUCAAGGUAUACAUCAUUAUCUAUUAGUACUUAAACUUGUUAAAAUCCAGCUAUUAACACUCAUUCGAGAUGUUAAAAAAACACUUAUUUGUAGGAAACAAUAUAAACGAAAAGGAAUAAAACUUGGGGCAGAAAAAAAGAAAAGAUAUUGUACAGCUAAAAGAAAAGCUUACUUUAAAUAACAUCAGUAUCCUCUUUUGCACGUUAUUCCUAUUCUAUGUGCCUGAGUUUUAGUGCAGUAAUAUUUUAUGCUUAACUAAUAUUAAAUCAAUCAGCAAUUGUUGUCGACAAAAUAUCUGGCUAUACUGAGUUGAUGAGACCUUCCAUGUCAAUUACAAAAUGUUUGAUUGUUAUCUUUCAUCAAUCGCCAUCGUUAGAAUCAGAUAACCUUAAUAUUACCAAUUAAGGACGACCUAAAAGAAAGAAAGAAAAAGAAACGAUUAGAGAAGAUAGGCAGAAAGAGUAUUAAGAAGAAAAAUGUUUAGUUUCACUAAAUAUAUACUAUUAUUUUGACACUUUGAGCAGACUUUUUUUUUAAAUCCUAAAUUAUAUAAACAUGAUGUAUCCAUCAAUUCUUUUCAUUUGUUUGCAUCUUUAAAUAAGAUAUAACUUAUAAAAAUAUUAAUUUUAAUAACUGUAUAUCCAUUUUUACACAUUUCUAGUCAUUGUAUCACAUGUUUAAUGUAAUACAAAAUAAGCUACCAACCAUCAAAUAAGAAUGGAAUCCACAUACUGAGAACAAAAACACGAGAAUCCACUGAUAAUGAUAAUUGAGACGUUACAUUCUCUUUGUCAACCACUUUUCUAUAAAAAUUUCUUAUAUACUAUCACUAACCUUUUGCAAAGAUGUUUUUAUGGCUGUCGAUAUCUAUGUUGCGUAUAUUUAUAAUUGUUAUAUCACCUGUUUAACGAAUUACAAAACAAUGUAUUAAACAUAAAAAAGAAUAAAAUCCAUAUACCGAGAACGAACACGAGAAUCCACUGAUGAUAAUAAUAGUCGAGACGUUACAUUUUUUUUAUCAACCACCUUUAUAUUAGAAUUUAUUGUAUAUUAACACUAUUUUUUUCUAAAUAAGUUUUUACGGUUGUCGAUAUCUAUAGUAUAUAUUUCUAAUCAUUAUAUCACAUGUUUAACGCUAUACAAAACAAAGUACUAAUCGACAAAAAGAGUGAAGAAACCCACAUACCGAGAACGAAGACGAGAAUCCAUUGAUAAUAAUAAUAGUCGAGACGUUACAUUUUCUUUAUCAACCACUUUUAUAUUAAAAUUUAUUUUAUAUUAACACUAUUUUUUUCCAAAGAAGUUUUUACGGUUGUCGAUAUCUAUAUUGCAUAUAUUUCUAUUCAUUAUAUCACAUGUAUAUAUUUCUAAUCAUAAAGUACUAAUCAACAAAAAGAGUGAAACCCAUAUACCGAGAACGAACACGAGAAUCCAUUGAUGAUAAUAAUAGUCGAGACGUUACAUUUUUUUUAUCAACCACUUUUAUAUUAAAAUUUAUUGUAUAUGAACACUAUUUUUUUCCAAAAGUUUUUACGAUUGUCGAUAUCUGAUUAGAUAUAUUUCUAUUCAUUAUAUCACAUGUAUAUAUUUCUAAUCAUAAAGUACUAAUCGACAAAAAGAGUGAAACCCAUAUACCGAGAACGAACACGAGAAUCCACUGAUGAUAAUAAUAGUCGAGACGUUACAUUUUCUUUAUCAACCACUUUUAAAAAUUUUGUAUAUUAACACUAUUUUUCCAAAGAAGUUUUUACAGUUGUCGAUAUCUAUAGUAUAUAUUUCUAACCAUUAUAUCACAUGUUUAAUGCAAUACAAAAAAAUUUAUUAAUCGACAAAAAGAGUGAAACCCACAUACCGAGAACAAAUAUGAGAAUCCACUGAUAAUAACUGUCGAGAUUUUUCAUUUUUUUAAUUAACCACUUCUGCAUAAAAUCUCGCAUAUAUUAACACUAACUUUUCACCCCUAAAUUUAUCAUGAUUACAGUCUAUUUUACGCAUAUUUCUAAAUUUUAUAUCAAUAUUCCACGUAAUACAAAAUAUAAUACACCAAUCAUCUAACAAGAAUGGGACCCACAUACCGAGAACAAACACAAGAAUCCACUGAUAAUAACUGUCUAGUACAUUUUUAAUCAACCACUUCUGCAUAAAAUCUCGCAUAUAUUAACACUAACUUUUUACCCCUAAAUUUAUCAUGAUUACCGUCUAUUUUACGCAUAUUUCUAAAUUUUAUAUCAAUAUUCCACGUAAUACAAGAUAUAAUACACCAAUCAUCGAACAAGAAUGGGACCCACAUACCGAGAACAAACACAAGAAUCCACUGAUAAUAACUGUCGAGAUUUUACAUUUUUUAAUCAACCACUUAUGCAUAAAAUCUCG
rnacentral:lncRNA from 1 species